AAAAAAUCUAUUUAUAAUAUUAUAUAUAUUAAUAAAUUUUAUAUAGUUUAAAAAAAUUUAUUUUAAAUUUAUUUUACAUAUAAAUUUUAGUAUUAAUAAUUGUUUAUUUAAAAAAUUUAUUGUUUUGUAGUAAUUAAUAUUAAAAAUUUAAGAAAUUAAGAUUUAGUAAUAUUGAAAUUAUUAACAAAUUUUGUGCCAGCAGUUGCGGUUAUACAAAAGUUGAAUUGAAUUUUAUUAGUUAUUUAAUAAUUAUUUAUUUUUAUAAUUUAAAAUUUAAAUUAUUAGGUGAAAUUUUAAUUUAAUAAUAAUUUAUUUAAAAAUAUUUAUAAUUUAAUAAAUUUAAAUAAUAAACUAGGAUUAGAUACCCUAUUAUUUUAAAUUUAAAGUUUAAAUACUAAAAUAGUAUAUAAUUAUUUAUUGAAACUUAAAUAUUUUGGCGGUAUUUUAGUUUAUUUAGAGGAAUCUGUUUAUUAAUUGAUAGUCCACGAAUAAAUUUACUUAAUUUAUUAUUUUGUAUAUCGUUGUUAAAUAAAUAUUUUUUAAUAAUUAUAAUAUUUUAAAAUUAUAAAAAAAAAUUAAAUCAAAUCAAGAUGCAGAAAAUAAUUAAGAAUAUAAUGGAUUACAAUAAAUUUAUUUAAAUGAAUUUUAAUUUGUAAUAAUUAUUUAAAAGUGGAUUUAAAUGUAAUUUUAUUUAAUUUAAUAAAAUGAUUUAAAAUUAAAAUAUGUACAUAUUGCCCGUCGCUUUCAUAAAUAAAUUGAAAUAAGUCGUAACAAAGUAGAGGUACUGGAAAGUGUUUCUAGAAAGAA
rnacentral:ncRNA from 1 species